CUCCCUGUUUUGCCUUUUCGAAAAUGUGAUACCUGAUCUCUAGGUCUAGCAGGCUGAGAAAUUUUUUGUAUUUGUAUAAUACGGUGUCUGGCCUUCCCCCUGACCUGCUGAUGUAUUUUUGGCCUCAUUAGUAGUCAGGGAGAUGCCUUAGUGCAUCCAGCACUGCAAGUCAGGGAUGAAACACACUACAACAGAGAGAGGGAGCAAGCGCGAGAGGAUAUUAGAAGAGAGGCUUGUCUCCAAGAUAUGGAAGGAAGUGAGAAAUGACAAGGCUGCAAGCUUUGUAUGUAGGAGACCGGCAGGGCGGGGGAGCGGCGAGGAGAGCCAAGUGGAUUCUCAGAAAAGGGGGGAAGCCAUCGAAGAGCUAAAGGUGAUUAGAGGGGGAUAUUGAUUUCUUAUUCUGCCAGAGAUUUAAGCAGGCAUGCGAGGAAUCUGCACCAUGGUUGGCAAAAGGAGACCCGUUGCCUCCUGUAACCAGACACUCGGGCUUUCCAGGAGCCCAGGGAGCAAGCCGAGAAGAAAGGGGGCAGUGUGGUCUAGGAAAAUUCAACUUGUCGCUGAUUUGUGCCUGAUGCCUGCUGUCCGUCAGCAGCCUCCCUUACAAUCUUUUUUUCUCUCUCUCCCUUUUUUUUCCCUUGCCUUCUCCUUCUUCACUGAAGCCUAGGGGAGCCAGUAAAGAUUAAAUGUGCUUCUCAAAGGCAGCCACUUCAUGCUGCUAUGUCGAAAGGGCCAUUAUUAUUAUUAUAUUUUAAUAGUAAAAGAGAAAGGGAGAGAGGUUGAGCGAGCGAGAGAGAAGCUAGGUGUGAUGAUGACAGACUAGCUUUUCUGAGAGGAAAAGGAAAAGGGAAGGGAGAGAAAAAGGAGAGCCCCUGAGCUCAACGGAGGAUUGUGCCUGAGAAGAACCUACAGAGAUAACCCUCCUUCCUCCACCUCACAAAAGCUCACAAGCUGCAACCCUUCUGAUGUCCGCUCCCACACGAGCCAGCUUCAGGCCUUUUUCAAGUUCUGUAGGUCAGAAUUCUGACAUGGAUCUCACUGGGCUAAAACCAAGCUGUUGGCAUGGCUGAAUUCCUUCUGGAAACUCUAAUGUGACUGGAGUGAUUUGCACCCGGAUGCCUAGACUCGCCAUCUGCUCAAAGAUUGCUCAGAAAGCCCUCUCAUGCAUUCCCCUGCUGCAUACCAGCCCACUCUGCCUGCAGCUGCUGUCUGCAGGACUUCACAUCUACGCCACACUGUUUAAAAGCUGUGCUUCAAGAAAUCACAAAAACAUAUGACUGCACCUACUACACAGCCUAAAUGCGGCAUAAGUUGACCUUGCUUUCUAAGAAGUGGGGCAAGAAAUGCUUUUUUGUGUGUGUCAUGUCUGUUUGUUUUUCAAUUAAGAGAGGAAAGCAUUAGGCAGAUGGAAUGUACAUGCGAGGAUGAGGAGACAGAAAACAAGUAGCCCUUUCCAUCAAGAUAAAGAGUUUUCUGGGGUCGCUGGCUCUUGAAUGUCACUCCUGAUUUCUCUUUCCAAGGCACUGUACCACCAGCCUACUGAGAUUGUGUGGGAGCUUUCAUGGGGGUUAUAUUUCACUAAUGGAAAUAAAUUUUGUGCAUAAUCUGAA
ensembl:lncRNA